AUGAACGCUGGCGGCGUGCCUAAUCCCUGCAAGUCGCGCGAACAGACGAGGAGCUUGCUCCUCUGACGUUAGCGGCGGACGGGUGAGUAACACGUGGAUAACCUACCUAUAAGACUGGGAUAACUUCGGGAAACCGGAGCUAAUACCGGAUAAUAUAUUGAACCGCAUGGUUCAAUAGUGAAAGACGGUUUUGCUGUCACUUAUAGAUGGAUCCGCGCCGCAUUAGCUAGUUGGUAAGGUAACGGCUUACCAAGGCGACGAUGCGUAGCCGACCUGAGAGGGUGAUCGGCCACACUGGAACUGAGACACGGUCCAAACUCCUACGGGAGGCAGCAGUAGGGAAUCUUCCGCAAUGGGCGAAAGCCUGACGGAGCAACGCCGCGUGAGUGAUGAAGGUCUUCGGAUCGUAAAACUCUGUUAUUAGGGAAGAACAAAUGUGUAAGUAACUAUGCACGUCUUGACGGUACCUAAUCAGAAAGCCACGGCUAACUACGUG
rnacentral:rRNA from 1 species